AGCGAACGCUGGCGGCAGGCCUAACACAUGCAAGUCGAACGAAGUCUUCGGACUUAGUGGCGGACGGGUGAGUAACACGUGGGAACGUACCUUUUGGUUCGGAAUAACUGAGGGAAACUUCAGCUAAUACCGGAUAAGCUCUUCGGAGGAAAGAUUUAUCGCCAUUAGAGCGGCCCGCGUUGGAUUAGGUAGGUGGUGUGGUAAAGGCGCACCAAGCCGACGAUCCAUAGCUGGUCUGAGAGGAUGAUCAGCCACACUGGGACUGAGACACGGACCAGACUCCUACGGGAGGCAGCAUUGGGGAAUCUUGCGCAAUGGUCGAAAGACUGACGCAGCCAUGCCGCGUGAAUGAUGAAGGUCUUAGGAUUGUAAAAUUCUUUUAGCAGGGACGAUAAUGACGGUACCUGCAGAAAAAGCCCCGGCUAACUUCGUGCCAGCAGCCGCCGUAA
rnacentral:rRNA from 1 species